GUGCCUACGGGGGGCAGCAGUGAGGAAUAUUGGUCAAUGGGCGCGAGCCUGAACCAGCCAAGUAGCGUGAAGGAUGACUGCCCUACGGGUUGUAAACUUCUUUUAUAAAGGAAUAAAGUGAGGCACGUGUGCCUUUUUGUAUGUACUUUAUGAAUAAGGAUCGGCUAACUCCGUGCCAGCAGCCGCGGUAAUACGGAGGAUCCGAGCGUUAUCCGGAUUUAUUGGGUUUAAAGGGAGCGUAGAUGGGUUGUUAAGUCAGCGGUAAAAUUGCGGGGCUCAACCCCGUCGAGCCGUUGAAACUGGCG
rnacentral:rRNA from 1 species